rnacentral:rRNA from 1 species
UAAUACGGAGGGUGCAAGCGUUAUCCGGAUUUACUGGGUUUAAAGGGUGUGUAGGCGGACAUUUAAGUCAGAGGUGAAAUCUCCGGGCUCAACCCGGAAACUGCCUUUGAUACUAUUUGUCUUGAAUUUCGUUGAGGUUGGCGGAAUAUAUCAUGUAGCGGUGAAAUGCAUAGAUAUGAUAUAGAACACCGAUUGCGAAGGCAGCUGGCUGAACGACGAUUGACGCUGAGGCACGAAAGCGUGGGUAGCGAACAGGAUUAGAUACCCUGGUAGUCCACGCCCUAAACGAUGAUUACUCGACAUACGCGAUACACAGUGUGUGUCUGAGCGAAAGCAUUAAGUAAUCCACCUGGGAAGUACGUCCGCAAGGAUGAAACUUAAAGGAAUUGACGG